GGGUGACAGCCCCGUACACAAAAAUGCACAUGCUGUGAGCUCGAUGAGUAGGGCGGGACACGUGGUAUCCUGUCUGAAUAUGGGGGGACCAUCCUCCAAGGCUAAAUACUCCUGACUGACCGAUAGUGAACCAGUACCGUGAGGGAAAGGCGAAAAGAACCCCGGCGAGGGGAGUGAAAAAGAACCUGAAACCGUGUACGUACAAGCAGUGGGAGCCUCUUUUAUGGGGUGACUGCGUACCUUUUGUAUAAUGGGUCAGCGACUUAUAUUCUGUAGCAAGGUUAACCGAAUAGGGGAGCCGAAGGGAAACCGAGUCUUAACUGGGCGUUAAGUUGCAGGGUAUAGACCCGAAACCCGGUGAUCUAGCCAUGGGCAGGUUGAAGGUUGGGUAACACUAACUGGAGGACCGAACCGACUAAUGUUGAAAAAUUAGCGGAUGACUUGUGGCUGGGGGUGAAAGGCCAAUCAAACCGGGAGAUAGCUGGUUCUCCCCGAAAGCUAUUUAGGUAGCGCCUCGUGAAUUCAUCUCCGGGGGUAGAGCACUGUUUCGGCAAGGGGGUCAUCCCGACUUACCAACCCGAUGCAAACUGCGAAUACCGGAGAAUGUUAUCACGGGAGACACACGGCGGGUGCUAACGUCCGUCGUGAAGAGGGAAACAACCCAGACCGCCAGCUAAGGUCCCAAAGUCAUGGUUAAGUGGGAAACGAUGUGGGAAGGCCCAGACAGCCAGGAUGUUGGCUUAGAAGCAGCCAUCAUUUAAAGAAAGCGUAAUAGCUCACUGGUCGAGUCGGCCUGCGCGGAAGAUGUAACGGGGCUAAACCAUGCACCGAAGCUGCGGCAGCGACGCUUAUGCGUUGUUGGGUAGGGGAGCGUUCUGUAAGCCUGUGAAGGUGUGCUGUGAGGCAUGCUGGAGGUAUCAGAAGUGCGAAUGCUGACAUAAGUAACGAUAAAGCGGGUGAAAAGCCCGCUCGCCGGAAGACCAAGGGUUCCUGUCCAACGUUAAUCGGGGCAGGGUGAGUCGACCCCUAAGGCGAGGCCGAAAGGCGUAGUCGAUGGGAAACAGGUUAAUAUUCCUGUACUUGGUGUUACUGCGAAGGGGGGACGGAGAAGGCUAUGUUGGCCGGGCGACGGUUGUCCCGGUUUAAGCGUGUAGGCUGGUUUUCCAGGCAAAUCCGGAAAAUCAAGGCUGAGGCGUGAUGACGAGGCACUACGGUGCUGAAGCAACAAAUGCCCUGCUUCCAGGAAAAGCCUCUAAGCAUCAGGUAACAUCAAAUCGUACCCCAAACCGACACAGGUGGUCAGGUAGAGAAUACCAAGGCGCUUGAGAGAACUCGGGUGAAGGAACUAGGCAAAAUGGUGCCGUAACUUCGGGAGAAGGCACGCUGAUAUGUAGGUGAAGCGACUUGCUCGUGGAGCUGAAAUCAGUCGAAGAUACCAGCUGGCUGCAACUGUUUAUUAAAAACACAGCACUGUGCAAACACGAAAGUGGACGUAUACGGUGUGACGCCUGCCCGGUGCCGGAAGGUUAAUUGAUGGGGUCAGCGCAAGCGAAGCUCUUGAUCGAAGCCCCGGUAAACGGCGGCCGUAACUAUAACGGUCCUAAGGUAGCGAAAUUCCUUGUCGGGUAAGUUCCGACCUGCACGAAUGGCGUAAUGAUGGCCAGGCUGUCUCCACCCGAGACUCAGUGAAAUUGAACUCGCUGUGAAGAUGCAGUGUACCCGCGGCAAGACGGAAAGACCCCGUGAACCUUUACUAUAGCUUGACACUGAACAUUGAGCCUUGAUGUGUAGGAUAGGUGGGAGGCUUUGAAGUGUGGACGCCAGUCUGCAUGGAGCCGACCUUGAAAUACCACCCUUUAAUGUUUGAUGUUCUAACGUUGACCCGUAAUCCGGGUUGCGGACAGUGUCUGGUGGGUAGUUUGACUGGGGCGGUCUCCUCCUAAAGAGUAACGGAGGAGCACGAAGGUUGGCUAAUCCUGGUCGGACAUCAGGAGGUUAGUGCAAUGGCAUAAGCCAGCUUGACUGCGAGCGUGACGGCGCGAGCAGGUGCGAAAGCAGGUCAUAGUGAUCCGGUGGUUCUGAAUGGAAGGGCCAUCGCUCAACGGAUAAAAGGUACUCCGGGGAUAACAGGCUGAUACCGCCCAAGAGUUCAUAUCGACGGCGGUGUUUGGCACCUCGAUGUCGGCUCAUCACAUCCUGGGGCUGAAGUAGGUCCCAAGGGUAUGGCUGUUCGCCAUUUAAAGUGGUACGCGAGCUGGGUUUAGAACGUCGUGAGACAGUUCGGUCCCUAUCUGCCGUGGGCGCUGGAGAACUGAGGGGGGCUGCUCCUAGUACGAGAGGACCGGAGUGGACGCAUCACUGGUGUUCGGGUUGUCAUGCCAAUGGCACUGCCCGGUAGCUAAAUGCGGAAGAGAUAAGUGCUGAAAGCAUCUAAGCACGAAACUUGCC
rnacentral:rRNA from 1 species